CCCCUACGGGAGGCAGCAGUGAGGAAUAUUGGUCAAUGGGCGGAAGCCUGAACCAGCCAAGUCGCGUGAGGGAAUAAGGCCCUACGGGUCGUAAACCUCUUUUGCCGGGGAGCAAGGGCGGGGACGUGUCCCGGCCCGGAGAGUACCCGGAGAAAAAGCAUCGGCUAACUCCGUGCCAGCAGCCGCGGUAAUACGGAGGAUGCGAGCGUUAUCCGGAUUUAUUGGGUUUAAAGGGUGCGUAGGCGGGUUAUCAAGUCAGCGGUAAAAUCGUGGAGCUCAACCCCAUCCAGCCGUUGAAACUGAUG
rnacentral:rRNA from 1 species